GAUGAACGCUGGCGGCGUGCCUAAUACAUGCAAGUCGAGCGAACGGACGAGAAGCUUGCUUCUCUGAUGUUAGCGGCGGACGGGUGAGUAACACGUGGAUAACCUACCUAUAAGACUGGGAUAACGUCGGGAAACCGGAGCUAAUACCGGAUAAUAUUUUGAACCGCAUGGUUCAAAAGUGAAAGACGGUCUUGCUGUCACUUAUAGAUGGAUCCGCGCUGCAUUAGCUAGUUGGUAAGGUAACGGCUUACCAAGGCAACGAUGCAUAGCCGACCUGAGAGGGUGAUCGGCCACACUGGAACUGAGACACGGUCCAGACUCCUACGGGAGGCAGCAGUAGGGAAUCUUCCGCAAUGGGCGAAAGCCUGACGGAGCAACGCCGCGUGAGUGAUGAAGGUCUUCGGAUCGUAAAACUCUGUUAUUAGGGAAGAACAUAUGUGUAAGUAACUGUGCACAUCUUGACGGCACCUAAUCAGAAAGCCACGGCUAACUACGUG
rnacentral:rRNA from 1 species